rnacentral:rRNA from 1 species
AUUGAACGCUGGCGGCAUGCCUUACACAUGCAAGUCGAACGGCAGCACGGACUUCGGUCUGGUGGCGAGUGGCGAACGGGUGAGUAAUAUAUCGGAACAUACCAUCGAGUGGGGGAUAACGUAGCGAAAGUUACGCUAAUACCGCAUACGAUCUAAGGAUGAAAGCGGGGGAUCGCAAGACCUCGUGCUCAUGGAGUGCCAGAUAUCUGAUUAGCUAGUUGGUGAGGUAAAGGCUCACCAAGGCGACGAUCAGUAGCUGGUUUGAGAGAACGACCAGCCACACUGGAACUGAGACACGGUCCAGACUCCUACGGGAGGCAGCAGUGGGGAAUUUUGGACAAUGGGCGCAAGCCUGAUCCAGCAAUGCCGCGUGAGUGAAGAAGGCCUUCGGGUUGUAAAGCUCUUUUGUCAGGGAAGAAACGGUUGUUGCUAAUAUCCAUGGCUAAUGACGGUACCUGAAGAAUAAGCACCGGCUAACUACGUGCCAGCCGCCGCCGUAAAAC